CAAGAACAAAGGAAGAAAAGGAAGAACAAGAACCCUAGGGUGAAAAUUCAAGAGAAAAUUAGUGGAUUUCAAGUAAUCAAGCAAUCAAAGGUAAAAUUUCUUGAUUUUGACUUGUGAUCUACCUUUCCCAUGCAUUCUUUUACAUUUUUCAUGGUUGAAUCACAUGAUUUCAUGAUGGGUAUCUUGCUGGAUGAACACUUAGAGAAAGAUUUUGAUGCUUGAUUUGGUUAGAUUUCAAUGUAUUUUAGUGUUUUUAGUUAGUGAUCUGUAGCAUGAAAAACAAACAAGAAAAAUUCAUGUUCUCCCAUUACCCAUCAUUGGCUGAAUUUUCCAUGUAGAGUGUGGAUGGUGGAUUUGAUUUUAUUUCAAGUGAAUUGAUUACGAAAUGAUGAAUUAUGGUGAGAAAAUCAAGUAGGAAAAAUCAUAGUGUUGAUGCACUCACCAUGGCCGAAAUUCUCAAGAAGAAAUGUGAGGAUGGUUUUGCUAAAUUUUAUGUUAUUUGACUUGUGUUUGGUGAUUUGAACUAUUGGGAGAGAAAUGGAAUUAUUUUGAGUUGAAUUGGACGUAUUGGCCAAUUAAUCAGGUGAUAGAUCGAGUUAGGCCAACACCGCAUGUAGACGAUAAUCCGAACAAUUUGCAUUCCAUUUCAUGCAUUAGUAUAGCCUGAAUUGGUUUUCUAACAAUUUAACACAAAUGUAGUAAAUCUAGGUGGUGAGCAUUCUAGCAAAGGUAAAGGAGAUAGUACCCGAGGAUCAAGAAUCGGAGUACUCAAAAUUCGACUCCCGAAAUAGUGAGUAACCUUACCAUCGUCUUAAUUAUCUAAAGUGGUUUUUAUCUAAUUUUGUGAUUUUAUGAAAAAUGAGUUUAAAUGGUAAAUCUUUAUGUUUUAUAAACAAAAUGUGUUUAAAUGAAAUGAUUUUAUAAAUUGUCUCGAAAUUGAAUGAUGGCUUUAAAAAUAGAGUAAUUGGAGACGAUUUGAUGAAUUGUGAAUUUAUGAUUCUAUUUGAUUGGCUUAUGGCAAUAUUGGCAUGAAUGGCUGAAUUGGUAUUUGUGUUGUAAAUAUAUAAACUGUUGUUUGCCUUGAUAGGUUGGAUAAUGAUAAAAUUACCAUGUCAUGUUGUUAAAUUUUAUUGAAUUGGUGGGUUAUUGAUUAGUCGCUGCAGUGGACGAGUUUUCGUGGACCAGCCUAUUAGAGGGGCACGGUAACCCUAUUAUAUUCUUACCUCGAUUGGAGAGGCAUGUAGGAUAACUCCCGAGGUACACUUUUAGAGUUCACUUCAUGCCAAACCACCACGUGAGGGUGAACUCAGCCAACGCCAAGGAACGGCUAUGUUUUCAAAAUAAAACCAUGAUUUAUGCGUACAUAACUUUUUAUCAGCCUUGGCAGACUCGAUUGAGAUAGCCCUCGGCCAAGGUAUCCUUGAUAACUGAGUAUGAGAAUGAUUUUGGCACGAGCCAAAGUUUUAAGAAAUUCAUAAGCCAUGUUGAUUACUCGAUUUAUGUGAAUUGAUUUUAUUUGGUUGAAAUGAGUUGAAAGGUGAUGAAUUACAGUAUGAUGAUCUAUUUUAAUCUGUCUCUAUUCACUCAAUUUUGGAUAUUUUAGAUGGUAUUUGUUUACUCAUUGGGAUUAUAUAAUCUCAUCACCCUCCUUUUCACCCAUUUCAGGCUCAGGAUAGUCAGUAGAUAGCUCACUUUAUUGAGGGCUACAGUUGGACUUCCAUCCUCAAAAACUGUUGGUUUACCACUUGUGAUACUUUUAGUCGUUCAUAGGCCCAUGUGUCACUGUAAAUUAAAUUUUAUACUUUAGUUAUCUGUAUUACAGUAUGUAUGAAUUUAUUUAACUUUUACGCUACAAAAAUUAUUUACCGGUAACUCUAUAAAUAUUGUUUUAUAAGAAAAUAUAAUAUUUUAUUAAAUAUUUUUAUUAUAUUCAAAUAGUUAUAGUUUCACUUUAAAUGAAUGUUUUAGACAUCUAAACUUAUUUUUGAUUAUGAAAUAUGUGUUU
rnacentral:lncRNA from 1 species